AAACAUUACAUGGAAAAUUCCAGAAAUAAUGCAUAAGUUUUAAAUUAUGCACAUUCUGAGUGGCAUGAUGAAAUCUUGCACCAUCCUGGUUCAUCUAACCCAGAACAUGAAUCAUCCCUUUGUCCAACCAUAUCCACACUGUAGACCCAAUGCUUACCCACCCAUUAGUCAUUUGGUUGUCUUGGCUUUACCAGAUUGACUGUUGGGAUAAUGCAGUGCUUGUGCUCAUGUAACCGUUAUGUAGUAAUCUAACGCUAUGUCGCAGUGCCUCUGUGGUUCACCUCACUUCAUCUCACUAUGUAGGUCCUGUAUCAUCUCACAGUGUGAGCAGAAGGGAAAGCGCUGUCCCCGUCCGGAUCUCAGCCACUCCUGGUGUGUUCUGCUCUGCAGAAAAGUGGAUCUUUCUGGAUAUUUAAGAGAAAGGAACCGAGAGAAGCCCAACGAGUGAAGAUGAGAGUGCCUUGCUUUUGGACUGUCUAGAGCAGGCGUUGGAAAACUUUUUUUGUAAAGGGCCAGAGUGAAUAUUUUGGGUUUUUGUGCCGUAUGGUCUCUUAUGCAAUUAUUCAGUUCUGCCAUUGUAGUAUGAAAGCAGCCAAAGACAAUCUGUACGCCAAUGAGUGUGCUUGUUUUCCAAUAAAAUCUUAUUUACAAAAA